GCUUUCAUAGCUCAGUUGGUUAGAACACCCGUUUAGUAAGCGGGAGUCAUGAGUUCAACUCUCAAUUCUCAAGAUCA